AAUGGCGGAAGAGCAUGUAAAGAAAUAUUCAAAGUCCUUAGUCAUCAGGGAAUGCAAAUCAAAACAACUCUGAGAUUCCACCUUAAACUCAUCACACCGACCGAGAUGAAAAUCUCAAAGGACAGCACAUGCUGGCAAGGUUGUGGAGCAAAGGGAACACUCCCCCACUGCUGAUGAGAGUGCAAACUUGUUCAACCACUCUGGAAAUCCAUGUGGCGGUUUCUCACAAAACUGGGAAGAGCUCUACUUCAAGACCCAGCUGUACCACUCCUGGACAUAUACCCAAAAGAUCUCUCACCACCCCACAAAGACACAUGGUCAACUAUGUUCAUAGCAGCUGUAUUUCUAAUAACUGGAAACCACCUAGAUGUCCCUCAAGAAUGGACAAAGAAAAUGUGGUCCGUUUGCACAUUGGAAUACGACUCAGAUGAAGUCUUCAUGGCACCAAUAUGACAGAGAGACACAAGACAGCUUGGAAGACUGUGGCUGCUUCUCAUAGAAAAGGUAGUUUAAAGAGCUCCAGAGGCAGCUUCCAGUGUAUAGCCAGAUUAAUUCAGAGUCAAGGUGUUUCACGUGCUUUUUAUUCACUCACAUGCGCACAUCUUACGGGUGCACACACAUAGGAUAAAGGGAGUAUGUUUAAAACAUUUGCUCUAAGGUUAGUAUGCAUCUCUACUCUGGAACUAUUUAUGAAUAGCACUUGUGUUAAAGCUCUCUCAAAAACUACUUCACAUUUUUCUUGUGAGAUACUAAGAAGGCCAUGAAGAUCAAUCAAGGCUUUAAUUGUUAAGAGAGCAUGUUGCUCCUAAACCAAAGGAACAUUUGAAGCAGAAAAUUCAUGAAUAUCGGCAAUAAAUGAAAGAAAGAGUCAGCACUCUGCAAAGCCCUUAUUAAAUAUUCAACUGCUUUAAUAGGCAUAGGGACUCUGGCCCUAACAGUGGCAAAUAAUCAUGUUCUUUUAGUUAUUCAUGAUAUUUCCAGGUUGGAUAAUGACUCUUGCCUGCCCACUCAAAAUCUUCACCAGCACCAUGCAUCACCUCCUGACAUACACACAUCUUCUCACAGAGACAUGCUACCCUUCGUAAACAUUGCUAUGACCUUGGGAACUUUAAAAACAUACAAUUGUGCCAAGCCAAGUGUUCUGAUUCUUUUGAAGUGAAUUUUAAACUGUCCUGGUGAUGAGGGUCUGCCUAGAACUACCAUAGCUCUCUGGCAUUUAUGAUAACCAAAUGCUUUCAAAUCUGCCUAAGGCCUAGUGAUCCACAGCUGUGGGAAUAAUAGCCAACAUGUGAUAGAUGAGUUUUUACAGCUACAUGAGACAUAACAUGAAUAAUAAUAAAAAGUCCCUGUUUCUAGUCACUUAGAGAACUAGUUACAUAAACAAAACUGUGUAGGUUGGCAAAAAUGUCUUGAAGGGUUUUCCUCACUUGCUGAGUUUACCUCAUAAUGUGACCACAAAAAGGCCUGCACAUUUAAAGGAGCUACUAAAAUUUAGCAAUGUCCUCCUUUUUGUAUUAGAAACUAAUGUUCCCUUACAGUAUGGCAAGUGAUAGAGGCUUCCUUUCAAGAAAAUGAAACUAGUUUCUAGCUAAAUUUAUUGGAAUAAAAUGUGUGCAGUUUGAAAACGGAAAGCCUGAGGUGAUGCAUAUAAACACACAUGGGAUAGAAAACACACAUGGGAUAGAAGAUACACAUGGGACAGAAGACACACAUGGGAUAGAAGAUACACAUGGGAUAGAAGACACACAUGGGAUAGAAGACACACAUGGGAUAGAAGACACACAUGGGAUAGAAGACACACAUGGGAUAGAAGACACACAUGGGAUAGAAGACACACAUGGGAUAGAAGACACACAUGGGAUAGAAGACACACAUGGGAUAGAAGACACACAAGGGGUAGAAGAUACACAUGGGAUAGAAGACACACAUGGGAUAGAAGAUACACAUGGGAUAGAAGACACACAUGGGAUAGAAGACACACAUGGGAUAGAAGACACACAUGGGAUAGAAGACACACAAGGGGUAGAGGACACACAUGGGAUAGAAGACACACAUGCUUCUCUGGAUGCCUUUAAACUCAGCCAACAGACAUGUUAGGUCUGCUGAAAACAGCAAGACCGUUUCUGAAUGAAUAAAAGCCUUUGCCCUAAAAGGAGGAGCAGACCACCAAGGAAGCCCACUCUCAUCACUUAGAUUCAAUUGUACUGGAAAUGAUGGCCAAUAUAACCAGGCAAGAAAAAUGACAGUGAAUUCAUUCAGAUCAGAACAGAUGUCAUAAAAGUCACUCUAUUUACAGGUUAAGUGACCUACAUAUAUGCAAAACUUUCUGGGGGGGAAAAAAACUCUUAAAACUAAGCAGCAGCUUCUGACAGUUUGCCAGGCAUAAGAUGAAUAUUCAUAAUCUUUGCAUUAUAAUAUAUUAAGACAGUCAAAUAGCCAGUGAGGUAAGUGAGAAGAUAAACCUAUUCGUGGUAGCAUUCAGAUCUAAAACAUUUGAGCUAUUUGUAAUGAAAUGCAUGAAAAUUUGAAAACUAACAAAGUUGUGCUAAUAUAAAGAUACUGUGUUCCUGAAACGUGUUCAGGAAACACAUUUCUUGAAACAGCUAAGGUAUUGUCUGUCUACAUUUGUAAAUUAUUCAGUCUUCAAGAUAAAAUUACAGUGGGUUUUUAUUUCUUUCAUAGAAACUGUCAGGUCCUUUCUUAAAACAAUAGGAAAGUGCAGAGAAAUAACUUUAUCAGGGCUUAAAAUAUCUUUAGAAAAGAAUAAACUUGCAGAACAAA